AAUAAGACUUUUACAGGUCUU
rnacentral:tRNA from 1 species